rnacentral:rRNA from 1 species
GUCCUUUAGAAUUAAGAAUUUAAGGUCUAACCUGCCCACUGAAAAUUUUAAAUGGCCGCAGUAUUUUGACUGUGCAAAGGUAGCAUAAUCACUAGUUUUUUAAUUAAAAGCUUGUAUGAAUGGUUGGACGAAAUAAAAUCUGUCUCUAAAUAAUAAUUAGAAUUUAAUUUUUAAGUUAAAAAGCUUAAAUUUUAGUAAAAGACGAGAAGACCCUAUAGAUCUUUAUAAUAAAAAUUAAAGUUUUGUUUAGGAUUAAUUUAUUAAUUUUAGUUUAUAUUAUUUUAUUGGGGUAAUAAAAAGAUUAGAUUAAUUCUUUUAAGAUUUUAACAGAAAUAAUUGAUUAUGUGAUCCUUUUUUAUGGAUUGUAAGAUUAAGUUACCUUAGGGAUAACAGCGUAAUUUUUUUAAAGAGUUCAUAUCGAUAAAAAAGUUUGCGACCUCGAUGUUGGAUUAAAAAUUAUCUUGGGUGUAGAAGUUCAAGUUUUUGGUCUGUUCGACCAUUAAAUUUUU